rnacentral:rRNA from 1 species
CCUACGGGAGGCAGCAGUGAGGAAUAUUGGUCAAUGGACGCAAGUCUGAACCAGCCAUGCCGCGUGCAGGAAGACGGCCCUAUGAGUUGUAAACUGCUUUUGUACGAGGGUAAACGCAGAUACGCGUAUCUGUCUGAAAGUACCGUACGAAUAAGGAUCGGCUAACUCCGUGCCAGCAGCCGCGGUAAUACGGAGGAUUCAAGCGUUAUCCGGAUUUAUUGGGUUUAAAGGGUGCGUAGGGGGUCGGCUAAGUUAGAGGUGAAAUUCCGGGGCUCAACUUCGGAAUUGCCUCUGAUACUGUGCGCCUAGAGAGGAGUAGCGGUACGCGGAAUGUAUGGUGUAGCGGUGAAAUGCUUAGAGAUCAUACAGAACACCGAUUGCGAAGGCAGCGUACC